AAGUCGUAACAAGGUCUCCGUUGGUGAACCAGCGGAGGGAUCAUUGCCGAGCCUCACCGCUCCCAAACCAUCGCGAACCUACCAGCAACGUUGCCUCGGCGGGCGGCUCCAGGCGGAGCCACCCGGGACCCGCCGGCGGUACACCCGGCCGAAACCACGCAGCGCGCCUGAGCCUCAGAGUCCCCCCAAAAAAAACUAGUCAAAACUUUCAACAAUGGAUCUCUUGGCUCUG
rnacentral:misc_RNA from 1 species